UAUGUAUUUGAGUUUAAAGAGCCAGUACAAUAACAAAGUUAUCUCAGUUCUCGAAAGUUAAAUGGACCUUGAACCAUUUGAUCCUAUUUCCGUGGACAAAUUUAUGUUGUGGAACUUGAUGGGGUCAAAUCCAUGUGCCUCCAAAUCAUAAAGAAGAUGGAGUUUAAUAUAAGAAUGGGCAUACAUCUUGAUGUUCGCGUAGAUAAAUGUUGAACUUUUUGAAUUUUUUUACCAUUAUGCAAGUUGGGGAUCUUUCCGUUUGUUCACCGAAACCUGCUCUUCUAGCUAUAUUCUACCUUUUUUCUUAUCGUACCUAUAUUCUCUCUUGUUUUGU